rnacentral:rRNA from 1 species
UACGUAGGGUGCGAGCGUUUAAUCGGAAUUACUGGGCGUAAAGCGUGCGCAGGCGGCUGACUAAGCUUGAUGUGAAAUCCCCGGGCUUAACCUGGGAACUGCACUUGUGACUGCAAGGCUGGAGUACGGCAGAGGGGGAUGGAAUUCCGCGUGUAGCAGUGAAAUGCGUAGAUAGUGCGGAGGAACACCGAUGGCGAAGGCAAUCCCCUGGGCCUGUACUGACGCUCAUGCACGAAAGCGUGGGGGAGCAAACAGGA